UAAGUAAGUGGUGGAAGAGGAACCAAAUGGGAUCCCUUAAGGAGUUGCGAAUGAACAAGGGGAUGCUCAGCUUGAAAAAGGGGCCCUGGGCUUUGAGUUGUAAUUUUCAAAUGUGUUGCCAAUGGAGGUGCAGGUGCAAGCCUAUUGAAAGGAAGCGUCAACGAGGGUGAAGUUCCUGUCUGUCAUUUGCAACCCUCCGUGCACGGUGCAUGUUUGAUGAGUCACACUCCUUGGCAUUGGAAUGCAAAGUGGGUGGUAACUUCCAAGGAAAGGAAAAUAUAAAGUUGAGACUGAUAGCACACAAGUACCAUGCGGGAAAUAUGAAAAGGACUUUGAAAAGGGGAUUAAAAGAGUCUGCAUUUGAUGAACGGGAAGCAAACGGAAUCAGCAUGGCUUGGCAAGAUUGUUGCAUGCGCAUGCUCCAAGGAAGCAAACAUGCGGGUGUAAUGGGUCUUUCCUUGCGAUGUCAGCACUCGUCCCUGCGCAUCAUUACCCUUGCGUGUGAAUGGUACUGUGCCUGCGGGCUGUGGAACAUAUGCGUCUUGCAAUGAUUCGUGGCUUGAUUCAUGCGUAGGGUGCUUGGCUAGCGCAUUCAUGAUGACGAGGCAAGUUGCCUUUCCUCAUGCGCAAGCAUACCUCUGCGUCUCGGUGCUGGCAAAACGAUCCGCUUGACCCGUCUUGAAACACGGACCAAGGAGUCUAACAGGUGUGCAAGGUUGUAGGCGAUGAAACUUCCACGUGGAAUGAAAGUGAUGGCUGGGAUAUUUGCACCAGCGGCCGACUGAUUGGAAGACAAAGGUUCGAGUUUGAGCACACCUCUUAGGACCCGAAAGAUGGUGAACUAUGCCUGAACAGAAUGAAGUCAGAGGAAGCUCUGAUGGAAGUGCGUAGCGAUA
rnacentral:rRNA from 1 species